AAUAUUGGACAAUGGGGGCAACGCUGAUCCAGUCAUGCCGUGUGUUUGAAGAAGGUCUUCGGAUAGUAAAGCACUUUAAGUUGGGAGGAAGGGCUUUAGGUUAAUACCCUGAAGUUUUGACGUUACCAACAGAAUAAGCACCGGCUAACUCUGUGCCAGCAGCCGCGGUAAUACAGAGGGUGCAAGCGUUAAUCGGAAUUACUGGGCGUAAAGCGCGCGUAGGUGGUUCAGUAAGAUGGGUGUGAAAUCCCCGGGCUUAACCUGGGAACUGCUUUCAUAACUGCUGAGCUAGAGUAUGGCAGAGGGUGGUGGAAUUUCCUGUGUAGCGGUGAAAUGCGUAGAUAUAGGAAGGAACACCAGUGGCGAAGGCGACUACCUGGACUGAUACUGACACUGAGGUGCGAAAGCGUGGGGAGCAAAC
rnacentral:rRNA from 1 species